UACGUAGGGAGCAAGCGUUGUCCGGAAUCAUUGGGCGUAAAGCGCGCGUAGGUGGCUUCGUAAGUCCGCUGUGAAAGUCAAAGGCUCAACCUUUGAAAGCCGGUGGAUACUGUGGAGCUAGAGUCCGGAAGAGGCGAGUGGAAUUCCUGGUGUAGCGGUGGAAUGCGCAGAUAUCAGGAGGAACACCAAUAGCGAAGGCAGCUCGCUGGGACGGUACUGACACUAAGGCGCGAAAGCGUGGGGAGCGAACAGG
rnacentral:rRNA from 1 species